CUGAAUUAUUUGAAUCUUUAUUUCAACCUGUUUGGACAACUUUUGGGAGUCGGCAAUAACCGGUAGCAGUAAAAUUUAAGAUUCACCUUUGAGCGUUCAGUCGCAAUGUGCUAGUCGGGCAGCGAUGUUGUAACUCGUAAGUCGUAAGUAACUCUCAGUGCAUGAUGUGCACCAUUUUUGUGAGUCGUCCGUUUCGUUAUGGGGGCAAGCAAGUUAUAGUAUCGACGAUGUAAUUACGCUGUACAGAUAGAACAUGCUGCAUGCAUUAUUUAUUCCUUAAAAAAAAAACAGGUUCGAAUAGCUAAAAAUAGUUUCCGUUUGUAACACCAUUUUCUUUUAUAGCGAUACUUUUGGUGGCUGCGGAAAAAUAUUAAAUGUGUGUCAAACACGUCGCUAACCUCAAUGUUAGAUCGAUCGAAUUUUUUAACUUCAGGCGCAACAGUAGGGUCAAUAAUGAAAAUUGCGACAUCUAUUGAUAAGUUAAUUCUACACUAAAGAGAACUUGCGAAAAAGAACACAAACAAAAUUUUUUUUGUUGGACACCCACCGCGAUGUGCAGUUUUAUUAAUUGAAUGUUCAAACCCUGAACACAGUUAUGAUGAAAUAGAUACGGUAUCACAUCUAAUUGUAGAUCCGUGCAUCCUUUUCAUCCAUUAUGUACUUUGUGUCUUCUUUUCACAUAAUCUAAUUCUUUCCCGGUAAUUUCAUCAUCUGGUUAUUCCAAUUAUGAGGGCAUAUUAUCUGCUUGGAACAUUAGAUUCCGUGUAGCUCUAUUCACGCAGUAUCACAAGUCAUUGCAAAUGAUUAGUGUACACCAUUAAAUCGUUAGUGAUAGCUAUACAAAAAAUUAUUCAAAUUUUUUCGAAUUUUUUUUUCUUGACGUAGGAGAAGCUUUGCAUUAUUAUUUGUGGUGGAUUGGUAAUCUGCAACCGUCCCGAAAAAUUUCAAAUAAUGAAAUCGGUAAACUUCAGUUCUGG